GGCCCCGACCCGACCCGCGAGGACCCGGACUCGCAGCUGAACAGCCUCAUUGGGCAGCAGCAGCUCCAGCUGCUGUCCCACCACGCCCCUCCUGUGCCCCUCACCCACCGCCCAGCCGGGCUGGUGGGCAGCAGUGCCACCGGGUUGCUCGCCCUGUCUGGAGCCCUGGCUGCCCAGGUUCAGCUGGCCGCGGCUGUCAAGGAGGAUUGUGCAGGCGUGGAGGCUGAGGGGUCCAGAGUGGAGAGAGCCCCGAGCAGGAGUGCGUCUCCCUCACCCCCCGCAAGUCUGGUGGAAGAGGAGCGACCGAGUGGCCCGGUGGUUGUCGGAAGCAGAGAGCCGAUGAGAAGGAGCUGUCAGGACCUUAUGAAAGCAAUGAAGACAAGAGUGACUACAACCUGGUGGUGGAUGAAGACCAACCCUCAGAGUCCCCCAGCCCUGCUACCACCCCCUGUGGAAAGGCAGCCAUCUGCAUUCCUAACCAUCGGGACCUGGUGAAUAGUCCAGCCUCCUUGGCCUCAAGCCUCAGCUCACCGCUACCCAGAGCCAAGGAGCUCAUCCUGAAUGACCUUCCCACCAGCACUCCUGCCUCCAAGUCCUGUGACUCCUCCCCACCCCAGGGCGCAUCCACCCCGGGGCCCAGCUUGGCCAGUCACCUAUGCCACCUCGCUGCCAAGCCAGCGCCUUCUACAGAUAGCAUUGCCCUGAGAAGCCCCCUGACUCUGUCCAGUCCCUUCACCACAUUGUUCAGCCUGGGCUCACACAGCACCCUCAAUGGAGACCUCUCCGUGCCCAUCUCCUACAUCAGCCUCCACCUGUCCCUGCAGGUCAGCAGCUCUGUGGUAUACGGAUGCUCCCCCAUGAUGGCAUUUGAGUCUCACCUGCAUCUCCCAGGGUCAUCCAUCUCUUCCUCACUACUCAGCAUCCCCAGAGCAAAGCUGGCCUACUCCUUACACGUGUCUGCAGACGGGCAGAUGCAGCCUGUGCCUUUCCCCUCAGACACACUGGUGGGCGCAGGAAUCCCAUGGCACGCCCGGCAGCUGCACACACUGGCACACGGCGAGGUGGUCUGUGCAGUCACCAUCAGUGGUUCCACGCAGCACAUGUACAUGGGUGGCAAGGGCUGCAUGAAGGUGUAGGACCUGGGCCAGCCUGGGGCCAAGACACCCAUGGCCCAGCUCGACUGCCUGAACUGAGACACCUACAUGACAACUACAUUCGCUCCUGCAAGUUGCUGCCAGAUGGCCAGAGUCUGAUUGUGGGCGGUGAGGCCAGCACCUUGUCCAUUUGGGACCUGGCAGCACCCACUCCCCGUAUCAAGGCAGAGCUGACCUCCUUGGCCCCAGCCUGCUAUGCCCCGGCCAUCAGUCCCAACACCAAGGUUUGCUUCUCCUGCUGCAGCGAUGACAACAUUGUGGUCUGGGAGCUGCAGAACCAGACGAUGGUCAGGCAGUUCCAGGGCCACACGGAUGGCGCCGGCUAUAUUGACAUUUCUGAUUAUGGCACUCGGCUCUUGACAGGGGGCCUGGACAACACGGUGUGCUGCUGGGACCUGCGGGAGGGCUGCCAGCUGCAGCAGCACGACUUCAGCUUCCAGAUUUUCUUACUGGGCCACUGCCCUAACCAGGACUGGUUGGCGGUAGGAAUGGAGAGUAGCAACGUGGAGAUCCUGCACGUCCGCAAGCCGGAGAAAUACCAGCUGCACCUCCACGAGAGCUGUGUCCUGUCCCUCAAGUUCACCUCCUGUGGACGGUGGUUUGUGAGCACAGGGAAGGACAACUUGCUCAACGCCUGGAGGACAUCAUACAGGGCCAGCAUUUUCCAGUCUAAGGAAUCAUCCUCUGUCCUGAGCUGUGACAUCUCCAGGAAUAACAAAUACAUCAUGAUGGGCUCGGGGGACAAGAAGGCCACCAUGUACCAGGUGGUCUACUGA